rnacentral:rRNA from 1 species
UACAGAGGGCUCAAGCGUUGUUCGGAUUCAUUGGGCGUAAAGGGCGCGUAGGCGGCGCGUUAAGUCGGGUGUGAAAUCUUGGAGCUUAACUCCGAAACUGCAUUCGAUACUGCCGUGCUUGAGGACUGGAGAGGAGACUGGAAUUUACGGUGUAGCGGUGAAAUGCGUAGAUAUCGUAAGGAAGACCAGUGGCGAAGGCGGGUCUCUGGACAGUUCCUGACGCUGAGGCACGAAGGCCAGGGGAGCAAACGGG